rnacentral:rRNA from 1 species
UACGUAGGGUGCAAGCGUUAAUCGGAAUUACUGGGCGUAAAGCGCGCGCAGGCGGUUAUGCAAGACAGAGGUGAAAUCCCCGGGCUCAACCUGGGAACUGCCUUUGUGACUGCAUAGCUAGAGUACGGUAGAGGGGGAUGGAAUUCCGCGUGUAGCAGUGAAAUGCGUAGAUAUGCGGAGGAACACCGAUGGCGAAGGCAAUCCCCUGGACCUGUACUGACGCUCAUGCACGAAAGCGUGGGGAGCAAACAGG